CACUCUCUCAGUCAACCUCCUCUCUUCUCUGGAUCGUUCACUAGAGCUCCAUUCUCCACCUGAAGACAAACCCUAGAUAGGAACUGAGGGAGCACUGGAGCAGAGUGGAGGAGACGCAUCCGCUGCAUCUCAAGUGGAGGAAGGAGGCCGGUGUGACCCUUGCGUCUGGGUCGGCUUCGCGAGCGGCGGGGUCCUUGCGGGCAGGGGUGCAGGCGUCGGGUAGGACCUUGUGCGGGAGCGGCCGCGACGCCUCGCGUGGGGAGGCAGGGUGUCGUGCGGGAGCGGCCGUGGGACCUGAGCAGGGAGCAUGCAGGCGCAAGCCGGGUCGCCUGUGGCUGUAGGGCCCGAUUUGUUAUGAUUUGUUGCGGUUUCUUAAAGGAUGGUGGACGAGCGACCAGCUUGGCUUCCAGAUGGGUGAGUUCUCCUUUCUGCCUUCAAUUGCAUAACAUCAGUGCCAUGUUUGGUGUUGUUAGGAUUUGAUUAAGCUGUGUAGAUAUGUAUGUUCAUCUGUAGGAAUGACAUCGAGACCAGUUUCAAUCUAGAAAUUAGGAUAAUUAGUCCAACUAUGCGAGGACCAUGGUUUGGCAUUACCAAAGUUGUUGAUUCAUACACCACAAAUUUUAAAGACCCUGUUCAUGAAAUUGUGGAUAAGCUUCCUUGUGGGUAUGGUGAUGUAGUGAAGCUGUUCUAUUUCUAUACUGAUAGCUAGUCCAACAUACAAAUUUAUUCUGACCAAGACUUAAUAAAUAUGUUAGCAAAACAUAUGAGUUCCAAAUGUUGUUGCAUGUCAAUUGCAUACCAUAAACCUAAUGCUGAUCCACCAGAAAUUCCACUAUGGGACAAUGUUGAAAUCCCAUGCACCCUGUCAAUGUCAGCCCCUAGCUAUGUAGAACCUAGCAAAGGAACUCAACCUGGGACUGUUACAGAACAAGAUAAUGACAUGGUAGAGGAAGUGGACAACUAUCUUAUGAAUCCUGAACUAGAGAAUGAAUAUAUGGGGGUUGAUGAAGAGGGUUUAUACAUUGAGAUAGCACCUACUUCUCAUGCAAAUGUUGACACAACUAAGAAAAAGGAUGAAGAUUAUGAUCCAAGUUCGGACUCUGAAUCUGAUUCUAUGUCUGACACCGAUAUGGAUGCUGAGGUAGAUGAUAUUGUUAAGGAUAGAUUGCCAUCUCACAUACCUGAAGUUGCAUACAACAAAGAUGACCCUCCUAUGGAAGUAGGGAGCAUCUAUCCAAACAUAUCUAAAUUUAAGUUGGCUCUUGCAACGCAUGCUAUCAAGAUGGAAGGUAAAAGUUUACCACACGUCAUAACUAAGUUGAAGGAGCAAAGCAGGAACCUUAACAUUGAUAUUGUCACUAGAUCACCUGAUGGGAUUGCAGAGGUUGCAGCAAGGGGAGGUUCUAGUUACAGGUUUGUUCUGAACCUAUAAGAAAGGACAUGUUCAUGCAGAGCAUGGGAAGUUUCUGGAUUACCACGUAAGCAUGCAAUUGCCUUUAUCACCUCUAUACCUGGAGAGAAGAUAGAAGAUCAUAUGGACAACUACUACUCAGUUUAGAUGUUCAGGGCUGCCUAUGAUGGUACAAUCUCUGCUAUACCAGACAAGUUUAUGUGGCCCAAAGCAGAACAUGGUUUCUUCAUGCAUCCUCCAUUGUUGAAGUCAACAGCCGGUAGGAGAAGGCAAAACAGAUACAAGGGAGCAGUAGAGGGUGGCAGCAAAGGAGCCAAGGGUAGGCAUGAGUGUCCAAUCUGUCACCAGUAUGGACAUCAUUGGUACACUUGUAAGGAUGGUGACCCAAACGCAUAGCGGCAAUGCUUGCUGAAAGAGGUCUACCCAAAAAGAAGAAAAGAAGAUAGCACCAGCUACUACUGAGAUCAGAAUUGUGCUUGCAGCACCUGCACAAAGGAUGGUCUUUCCGGUUCUGCCUACUGUUGCGGAUCUAUCAAAGAAAAGGAAGAACAAAUCAUUCUCAUCAACUGGUGAGAAGAAACAAAAGAAUACUUCUGAUACUUCAACCGCUGAGGCUAGUGACCCCGCUGUGAGAGGGUUUGCAACAGGUUCAAAUCAGCUAGAUCUUUUAGCGAUUACAUAUCCUUAUAGAUCAAGUGAGCAGCACAUGGCUGACAAGAGCACACGUCAGCAGUAGGACAAGAAGAAAAAGGCCAUUAAAAAACUUACUCCAAACAAGACUAGUCCAGCCAUGUCAACCCGUAGCAAGGUCUCUAGUUCCCCUUCUAGUCCGGCCAUAGGAACUAGAUUCAAGAAAAGACUUGAUCUUUGAUGAGUUUGCAUCUGUAUGGCAUGCUUUUGUAGUACUUGAGGUCUGCAUGACCAAACCUUGUUUAGAAUAGUAAUGAGGUCAAUGUAACCAUCUUUUAUAUGCAAACUUGACUUUGCGAUCAAGCUGACUAUGCACGUCGAUGAUAUAUUUGGACCUCUUUUA